ensembl:snRNA U6 U6 spliceosomal RNA
GUGCUCACUUUGGCAGCACAUAUACUAAAAUUGGAACCAUACAGAGAAGAUUAGAAUGGUCUCUGCACAAGGAUGACACACAAAUUCGUGAAGCAUUUCAUAUUUUU